GCAGUCGAGCGGAAGAAGAGAGCUUGCUCCCGGAUGUUAGCGGCGGACGGGUGAGUAACACGUGGGUAACCUGCCUGUAAGACUGGGAUAACUCCGGGAAACCGGAGCUAAUACCGGAUAGUUCCUUGAACCGCAUGGUUCAAGGAUGAAAGACGGUUUCGGCUGUCACUUACAGAUGGACCCGCGGCGCAUUAGCUAGUUGGUGAGGUAACGGCUCACCAAGGCGACGAUGCGUAGCCGACCUGAGAGGGUGAUCGGCCACACUGGGACUGAGACACGGCCCAGACUCCUACGGGAGGCAGCAGUAGGGAAUCUUCCGCAAUGGACGAAAGUCUGACGGAGCAACGCCGCGUGAGUGAUGAAGGUUUUCGGAUCGUAAAGCUCUGUUGUUAGGGAAGAACAAGUGCAAGAGUAACUGCUUGCACCUUGACGGUACCUAACCAGAAAGCCACGGCUAACUACGUGCCAGCAGCCGCGGUAAUACGUAGGUGGCAAGCGUUGUCCGGAAUUAUUGGGCGUAAAGGGCUCGCAGGCGGUUUCUUAAGUCUGAUGUGAAAGCCCCCGGCUCAACCGGGGAGGGUCAUUGGAAACUGGGAAACUUGAGUGCAGAAGAGGAGAGUGGAAUUCCACGUGUAGCGGUGAAAUGCGUAGAGAUGUGGAGGAACACCAGUGGCGAAGGCGACUCUCUGGUCUGUAACUGACGCUGAGGAGC
rnacentral:rRNA from 1 species